GAUGAACGCUGGCGGCGUGCCUAAUACAUGCAAGUCGAACGAGUUCUCGUUGAUGAUCGGUGCUUGCACCGAGAUUCAACAUGGAACGAGUGGCGGACGGGUGAGUAACACGUGGGUAACCUGCCCUUAAGUGGGGGAUAACAUUUGGAAACAGAUGCUAAUACCGCAUAGAUCCAAGAACCGCAUGGUUCUUGGCUGAAAGAUGGCGUAAGCUAUCGCUUUUGGAUGGACCCGCGGCGUAUUAGCUAGUUGGUGAGGUAAUGGCUCACCAAGGCGAUGAUACGUAGCCGAACUGAGAGGUUGAUCGGCCACAUUGGGACUGAGACACGGCCCAAACUCCUACGGGAGGCAGCAGUAGGGAAUCUUCCACAAUGGACGCAAGUCUGAUGGAGCAACGCCGCGUGAGUGAAGAAGGCUUUCGGGUCGUAAAACUCUGUUGUUGGAGAAGAAUGGUCGGCAGAGUAACUGUUGUCGGCGUGACGGUAUCCAACCAGAAAGCCACGGCUAACUACGUGCCAGCAGCCGCGGUAAUACGUAGGUGGCAAGCGUUAUCCGGAUUUAUUGGGCGUAAAGCGAGCGCAGGCGGUUUUUUAAGUCUGAUGUGAAAGCCCUCGGCUUAACCGAGGAAGCGCAUCGGAAACUGGGAAACUUGAGUGCAGAAGAGGACAGUGGAACUCCAUGUGUAGCGGUGAAAUGCGUAGAUAUAUGGAAGAACACCAGUGGCGAAGGCGGCUGUCUGGUCUGUAACUGACGCUGAGGCUCGAAAGCAUGGGUAGCGAACAGGAUUAGAUACCCUGGUAGUCCAUGCCGUAAACGAUGAAUGCUAGGUGUUGGAGGGUUUCCGCCCUUCAGUGCCGCAGCUAACGCAUUAAGCAUUCCGCCUGGGGAGUACGACCGCAAGGUUGAAACUCAAAGGAAUUGACGGGGGCCCGCACAAGCGGUGGAGCAUGUGGUUUAAUUCGAAGCAACGCGAAGAACCUUACCAGGUCUUGACAUCUUUUGAUCACCUGAGAGAUCAGGUUUCCCCUUCGGGGGCAAAAUGACAGGUGGUGCAUGGUUGUCGUCAGCUCGUGUCGUGAGAUGUUGGGUUAAGUCCCGCAACGAGCGCAACCCUUAUGACUAGUUGCCAGCAUUUAGUUGGGCACUCUAGUAAGACUGCCGGUGACAAACCGGAGGAAGGUGGGGAUGACGUCAAAUCAUCAUGCCCCUUAUGACCUGGGCUACACACGUGCUACAAUGGACGGUACAACGAGUUGCGAGACCGCGAGGUCAAGCUAAUCUCUUAAAGCCAUUCUCAGUUCGGACUGUAGGCUGCAACUCGCCUACACGAAGUCGGAAUCGCUAGUAAUCGCGGAUCAGCACGCCGCGGUGAAUACGUUCCCGGGCCUUGUACACACCGCCCGUCACACCAUGAGAGUUUGUAACACCCGAAGCCGGUGGCGUAACCCUUUUAGGGAGCGAGCCGUCUAAGGUGGGACAAAUGAUUAGGGUG
rnacentral:rRNA from 1 species